UGUUGUUUUGUUUUUCUUAACUGCAUUUUUGUUGUUGUUUUAUCUCCUUCUUCCCGCCGGAGAAGUUCAAAGAAUCGCUGCUGGCGAGCUCUUCUUUGAAUUUUGUGUCGUUUCAGAGUGUGAGCCAGUAGUCCACAUGGAGCCUGAGUGUCCACCUUGAAAGAACCUACCAGCUACGCAGAAGCUGCUGGUCUAUAGACACCCUGGAUUUCAACUUUAUUGAAAAACCCUUGCCAUCUCCGGCGGGCUCUAGAUGUUUCUCUUUUAAUCCAGGGCAGCUUCUCAAACAGAGUUUGCAAGCUUGACGUUGUAGUCUGCAGCUACACUUAGGAGUUUUGGGAUUCCAGCCCAAGUGGGAAAGUUCAUAACAUUACCCAUGCAUUUGAGUUGCUGAAGACCCAUGACCUUCACUAUUGAACUGCUUCAUUGGAGGGAAAGAAUUGCCUUGAUCAUUCUGAGUGAUGUGAAAUAUUCAUGACCUUUGCUCCGAUAAGCUGCAGUGGGGAUAAGCUGCAUUGUUAAGCUCCUCUUGGGCUCUCACAUAAUGGUUUAGAAGCAGAUUCUUCCAGCCAAGGUGUGUGGGCUUGUCAGUUUCAUAGACAAGCUAGUGUCAACAGGGUGAUAAUCCUCAAACCAAACUGGUUUGAGGAACAGGGAAAACUCCACAAUACACCAUAAAUGGUAAAUUAGCACUUAGCUGAGAGGUACACUUCAGUUCACCCAUCCAUCUUUGGCCCUUGAUGACAGGCUUGGGGGGGGGGUGCUGUAGAGGAAGAGACACAACUGAGGCCACAGAGAAUCUGUCUCCUAUUGUCAUUCUGCCCCUUCAGGCAAAGGCAAAGUCUUCAGAAAGCCUCUCCUCAUUAGUUAACUUUAGUAUUAAAAUUCUUGGAGGUCAGUAAAAACCAAGCCAAAAAACCCUCCUGGGAUGUGAGAGCUGAGGGGAGGGGCAUGUAUAUUGUUCCAUUGAUGGGUUGAACACACAGGAGAAACAAGAGACAAAACUAUUGAGAAAAAGAAGAAAUCCGAGUAUCAUCAGUUUUUGUUUUUUGUUUUUGUUUUAUUUCAC
rnacentral:lncRNA from 1 species